rnacentral:lncRNA from 1 species
UUCCUAGAUCUUCUCGGCUUAGCAGCUGAAGACUGACGCUGCCUGAUUGCCUCGGAAGCCCCCUAGACCAUCACGGACGCCAAGCUUCGGGUAACUUUCACAGUGGAAGGUGACGAGUAAAGGGAACCAGCCGGACUAAGGCUGAGUGUUGAGAAAUCUGAUCUGUAAUAGUGGGAAUUACAUUCACCCAUGUUAAUACAAACUUCCUACCAUAUCGAAGAAACAGAUAAGACCAUCAUGAACAUCCUGCUUAUGCCUGAAGCAGUUGUUAUGCUUCAGAAGACAGAAGCAAUAGCCAAAAGGAAAACCUCCUAAGGAGAGAAGUUGGGUUACCAGCUGCAUGAGGCAGUAAAAGUGGGAUGAUGAACUGCAAAAGACAAUUACAGUUAAGAAAGUUGCGGUAAUGGCAUUCUGAGAUUUUCUUAUCCCAUAAGUUGUGUAUCUAUGUUGUAGUCUAGGUGAAAUAAAGUGACAGGGAAAGGUGUGGUUCAAUAAAUACCAUUUCCUUUAAA